AUGAUGGCCAAACUGCAGAAGGGACAUAUAACUUCACCUCUAUCGAGUCAUCACAUUGCUCAACCCAAUCACAUCUCAAGAAUCUUGGAGGAGUCGACAAGAAUCAAGGAGAAACAUCAGCUGAUGGUGAGAAUCCUGGAGGAGAAAGGGUGCAGAUUAAUGAAGAUGUUGAGGAGGUGUACGUGCAAGUGGAGCCCCAACAAACUCAACCAAAUUUGGCUACUGCACCCUCAAGAAAUGGAGAAGAGGGAGAACCAAAGAGACGGAGGGGGCGAAUGGUGA
rnacentral:rRNA from 1 species